AUGCAGAUCAAGGUGUGUCCUUUCUCUCAUACAUGCCCAACUAAGCUGAGAAGUGAGAAGUUCAAGCCGGCUAAGAGUAGAUGGGUUGCUGAUGUUAUCCUAGAUUGGGUCAGAAAGAACCCAGACAUUGGCCCUACUGCUCUUCAAGAGAAGAUCGAGGAGAAGUAUCACUUCACGGUGCCGUACAUGCGUGUAUCUCGUGGUAAGGAGAAAGCAAUGGAUAUGAUUAGUGGAAAAUGGAAAGAUAGCUUUCAUCUUCUCUAUAGUUUCAAGGCUGAGGUGGAGAAGUGUUCUCCU
rnacentral:rRNA from 1 species